GAUGUACUCCCUCCGUCCAGAAAUACUUGUCAUUGAAAUGAAUAUGUCUAGAUGUAUUUUAAUUCUAGAUACAUCCAUUUUCAUCCAUUUAUGCGACAAGUAUUUUUGGACGGGGGGACUAGUAU
rfam:Triticum aestivum genome assembly, contig: Triticum_aestivum_CS42_TGACv1_scaffold_145862_2BS